GGGGGUGUCGGUUGGCGCUCUCACAGGGAGCGGUGAUGGCGACGUACGUGAGCGAGCUGGAGGCGGCCAAGAAGAGCCUGAGCGAGGCGCUGGGCGAGAAUGUGAAGCAGUACUGGGCCAACUUGAAACUCUGGUUCAAGCAAAAGAUCAGUAAGGAGGAGUUUGACCUGGAAGCACGCAGGCUUCUCACGCAAGACAAUGUCCACUCUCACAACGAUUUCCUCCUGGCUAUUCUUACCCGAUGCCAGAUCUUGGUUUCUGCACCAGAAGGUGCUGGAUCUCUGCCGUGGCCAGGUGGCUCUGCAACUAAACCUGGAAAACCCAAAGGAAAGAAAAAGAUUUCUUCGGUUCGACAAAAGUUUGAUCACCGGUUCCAGCCUCAGAAUCCGCUCUCUGGAGCCCAGCAAUUUGUGGCAAAGGAUCCUCAGGAGGAUGAUGACUUGAAGCUGUGUUCUCACACCAUGAUGCUUCCUACACGUGGCCAGUUAGAAGGAAGGAUGAUUGUAACUGCGUAUGAGCACGGCCUAGACAAUGUCACAGAGGAGGCAGUGACCGCAGUUGUUUAUGCUGUGGAGAACCAUCUUAAGGAUAUUCUGACAUCUGUGAUAUCCAGGCGGAAAGCCUAUCGUCUGAGAGAUGGCCAUUUCAAGUAUGCCUUUGGAAGCAAUGUUAACCCGCAGCCAUAUCUGAAGAACAGUGUUGUGGCUUAUAACAAUUUAAUUGAGUGCCCUCCAAACUGUGCGACACCUUCUGCUGGUCAGAGUCUAACUCCCCAGCCCCCGCCUGAUGAUGCUGAGCAGCAGGCAGCUCUACUCCUAGCGUGCUCUGGAGACACCUUGCCAGCGUCCCUCCCGCCAGUGAACAUGUAUGACCUUUUUGAGGCAUUACAGGUGCACAAAGAAGUUAUUCCUGCGCACACUGUCUAUGCUCUAAACAUUGAGAGAAUUGUCAUGAAACUUUGGCAUCCAAACCACGAGGAGCUACAGCAGGAUAAAAUCCAUCGCCAGCGCCUGGCAGCAAAGGAGGGCAUUCUACUCUGCUAGAGCUAGGCAGCCCUGUCAGGCCUCAGGUGGCUACGGUGCUAUUCCUUGGACUUGACAUUCAGAUGCUUCUUGCAAACCUGUGUCAGCAUUUCAAGGAUGACACAGUUCCAGCUGUCAGACCUGGCUUAAGUCUGAUCAAGCCUUUACAGCUGGGUGCCAAGGAUCCUAGAGAUGUGAAUGUAGCCCUCCUCAACACCCCUAAAUAGCCAAACUCUUGCUGCCAAGACUGGUGACCAGGAAAGAUUUUUCUCAUUGCUGGUUCACAGCAGAAGCCUGGAGCAUAGCACUUGCUAUCAAACAUGGACUGCACUGCCUUUCUCUUAGCUUAACUGCUCGUAUGUCCCUUCCCAGCCUUCCCACUCUUCUGCAGCCGAGGUGGACUUUUUUGGUUGUUGUCCCAGUUCUUCCUUCCUAGCAGAAUAAUCCCCCUGUUGUAGGAAGCUGGGAUUGGGUGUGAUGCAAAGAGUGGGCCCUCUGUUUGAGGUCCAGAAACUGUGUGCCAGCAGUGCCUAAAAAUACAGAUUCUGGUUUCUCAAUAGAGAAAAAUCUAAACUAGUGACUUUGUACCACCUUCUUCCUACUCGACCUCUAGGAAACUUCUGGCAAAGAGAGGAAAAUGAGGAAAUGAGACUGCUUGCAUUUAAGAAGAAACCACAUGCACUGCAUUUCUGUCCUUAACCGUGAAUGCCCAAGAGCCCCAAACUGGGUUUGCAGAAAUGAUCUGCUGUCCAGCCAAGCGAAAACAAUACCAAGAAAGGAGACCUCCUUUUGUCCUCCUGGGGUGGAAGGAAGCGUGUGACCUAUUGCUGCAGUCUGAUGUCAAAGAAGAAAGUCUCCACAGAAGAGGGGCUGCCUUCCCAGUUCUGAGAAUGCAGCUGCAGAGAGGGGUGGUAGUGGCUGUUCCCUGUCAGGGACUUGUAGGUGAUAAUGGAUGUGUCUUGCUGGCCUGAAGUCAUGUGCAGAAGGGUUUGCAGCAGUGCUGCAGCAGUAGCAUGAUGCCAGCAAGCUCUUCUCCCAGCGAGAGGCACGACUCGUGCUGCUAGAGGAGGGCUUCGGCAGUGUAACUUCAACAGGCUCCUAAGAAGUAAAUAAUUUCUCAGAGCCGAAAGGUUUCCUUGUGGUGUUGCCUUUCUUCACCAGUGUGGUUACUGGUGUGGUCUGGUUGGCAGGAGGAGAGGACGAAUUCACCAGCCUGCCUUGCAGUUACUGCAGAAAAGAGCUUUAUGUGUAGCUGUGGCUGUAGCCUGGGGCAGGCAGGGAAACCAGACAGCGUCAGGCAAGCGCACCCUUUGUGUCCCUGAGGUCAGUAUUCGCCAAACCUUGAGGCAAGCACAGCUCUGUGUGCUCUAGACACUGCAGGCUGAAGGGACUGUUGCAGGCUUGGCACCCCUCAGGCUUGUUUGCCUAGCAGCAAACGGUUAACAAAGUGUGCAAAGUCAGGGCACAAACACUACUGUCUGCCUUCCUCAGGUGUACAGAGACCAUAGUUCACACUGAGAUCAGGGCACCGCAGCUGCCUCCAAGACUUUGCAUCUUCUGAGGAGUCCUGUUAAGCGUCCUGGGCAUCCCCAUGCAGACCCAGCUCUGGGUGGGGUUGUGCAGCAAUGACAGGAACAUGGUGCAGAUUUCUUUCUGGGUCAAGCACAGGCUGCUGAUGACCACUGAGCUGCUGCUGUAACCCGCUUCCAGCCCUGAGUUUGAUUAUGGUCCAAGGUCCUGAUUAGAUGA